GACAGGAAAAAAGGUGACAGUUGGUUUUAGAGAUUGUCGGGCUGGGAAGAGCGCAGUUGCAAUUUAAUGAGCUCACCGAGCCCAUUAAGUAAAGAAUCGUGAUUUUUCUUAUAUAAUACGCGCUAAUGUCUUUUUUUUGAAUGAAUAUAUCAUACUCGGAUGUCAGGAAAACAGUGUGUUGAUAGUAAGAGAACAAGAGAAACCUUAGAAAAUAGGAUAAACAAAUGAUCCGUGAUGCUCUCCAAUAAACAAGCAUUACAUUUGAGAUUUGACAGUGCGAAGUUGCUUAAAUAAAAGGCUUUCUUGAAUUACACUCACGUGAUAUAUUAUAUAUAAUACUACAAGAAGUCGCGUUCUCAAGUCCUUGUUUUCACGACAUCUAUAUAACUAGAGGCUUUACCUUUUAAUUCAUAUUGAUAUGUUUGUAUGAGGAUCAUUUUCAUCUAACAUGCGCAAUAACAUUAAUAGCAUCUAACCAACGCGGUUGGCCUAGUGCUAGUUGAGGAAGAAAAUCCAAUACGCUCCCCGCAGGUUCGACUCGCGUUGGCCACCCGGACCCUCCCUGCUAAUUCCUGAGG
rnacentral:lncRNA from 1 species